GCGCCCGUAGCUCAGUGGAUAGAGCGCAACACUCCGGAUGUUGAGGCCGGACGUUCGAGUCGUCUCGGGCGCGCCA
rnacentral:tRNA from 2 species